GGCUUACACUUGAUCGCUGAACUUAAGGUAAGUUCAUAUGUUGACAAGGUCUUCUAUUUAGCUGAUGCA
rfam:Amborella trichopoda AMTR_V1.0_contig_20254, whole genome shotgun sequence.